GAUUCCCUUAGUAACGGCGAGCGAAAAGGGAACUGUCCAGCGCCAAGUCUUGACACCCAGGUGCUCAAGAGAUGCGGCGUUAAUGUGUUGGCGCCUCGUGUUCCGACCGGUCUCUCAAGUUCGCUUGACAGCGACAUCCAGAGCGGGUGCUAGGCCCAUAGAGAGCCUGGUCCGGUCCACGCCGGCCAACGCAUUCUAGAGUCAGGUUGCUUGAGAGUGCAGCUUAAAGUCGGUGGUAAACUCCAUCCAAGACUAAAUAUGACAGCGAGACCGAUAGCAAACAAGUACCGUGAGGGAAAGUUGCAAAGCACUUUGAAGAGAGAGUUCAACAGUACGUGAAACCACUGGCAGGCAAACAGAUGGAACCACGAAUGUGCGCCCUGGUCGAUUCAAUCAUCGUUGCGGGUGAGCUAGGCCGAGCGAGGGUCUCUCCGGAGGCUGGUUCGGCCGGGUUGCGACCCGUGGCGSUGGUGCAUUUCGUGCCAGGGAUGCUAAGCCACGUUCGACUAGAGCUGGAACGGCCGUAGGAUGGGAUCUGGGAAAGGUGGCCGACACGUGCUUGCGCGCGUCGGUGUUACAGGCCCGGGUCGGAACCGUUGCCAAGCAGACUGGUCGAUGCAAGUGCUCCCUCGGGAGUGAGACUGUCGCUGCCCGUCRCAGCUAGUUCGUGCUUCGCCGUGUUCUUGCAGUGCUUCGCUGUGCGACAAGACAUGGCAACAGCGCGGGCUAGUUGUGGCCUGCGUGCGGCAGUAGAACUGUGGUGCGAGUAGGUCGGUGUCCAUCUGACCCGUCUUGAAACACGGACCAAGGAGCCUAUCAUAUACGCGAGUCGCUCGGUCUUGACUAGGCCCGGGAGGCGAAAUGAAAGUAACGGCUAUGAGGCCUCGGUCGCAAUAGCGGUACGCCUACUUCGUUUAUCGGCGAUCAGGCGUAAUCGGAGCGUAUACGAUGGUACCCGAAAGAUGGUGAACUAUGCCUGGGCAAGACGAAGCCAGAGGAAACUCUGGUGGAGGUCUGUAGCGAUUCUGACGUGCAAAUCGAUCGUCAGACCUGGGUAUAGGGGCGAAAGACUAAUCGAACCAUCUAGUAGCUGGUUCCCUCCGAAGUUUCCCUCAGGAUAGCAGGCGCUCAGAAUGUCCAGUGUCAUCCGGUAAAGCUAAUGAUUAGAGGUCUUGGGGUUGAAACGACCUCAACCUAUUCUCAAACUUUAAAUGGGUGAGAUGGUUGACUUUCUUGAUUUGAAGCCAACCAGUUGCAUGUGAGUGCCUAGUGGGCCAUUUUUGGUAAGCAGAACUGGCGCUGUGGGAUGAACCAAACGUCGAGAUAAGGAAUCGAAUGCGUACGCUCAUCAGACCCCAUGAAAGGUGUUGGUUGCUAUAGACAGCAGGACGGUGGCCAUGGAAGUCGGAAUCC
rnacentral:rRNA from 1 species